rfam:Nelumbo nucifera unplaced genomic scaffold scaffold00107, whole genome shotgun sequence
AGGCCAUGGUGAGGAACUCUCCUCAGCAAUUCCUUGUAUCGUUUCCAUGACUCAUAUAAAGAUUCCCCCUCUUGUUGGAAAAAUUUAGUGAUAUCAUUCCUCAUUUU